AUGGGCCUCAGGGAGACAGGGACUCGGAAGCUCAGGACCCUGAGCCCCUCCCCACGGUGCCCGGAACUCAGGGAGGGGACCCCACCUCCUACUUCCUGGGGCCCCGGCCACACCCUGCCCUGGGGUGCGCUGGGCAGGCCACUUCCUUCUCCCGCCGGGGCUGCAACCCCAGAGUCUGCUGGUAGGGGCGAGGACAGAGGGCGCAGGAUGGGUAGAUUCUGGACGACCCCCGGUCAACUCUAUCUUCUCGCAACUCUGGUCCCAAGGCUGGUGCAGGCCCAACCCCUGGCCCAGCGGAAGUCGUGGCUCGUGGGGCUAGGGGCUGCGCUGGCCUUGCUCUUCCUCAUCUUUGUCCUCACCUUGGUCUAUGCCGUCUGGUGCCGGGAGUCCCAGGACAGCAGUGAAGAGAAGGAAGAGGAGAC
rnacentral:lncRNA from 1 species